ACUCCUACGGGAGGCAGCAGUAGGGAAUCUUCCACAAUGGGCGCAAGCCUGAUGGAGCAACACCCCGUGAGUGAAGAAGGGUUUCGGCUCGUAAAGCUCUGUUGUUAAAGAAGAACACGUAUGAGAGUAACUGUUCAUACGUUGACGGUAUUUAACCAGAAAGUCACGGCUAACUACGUGCCAGCAGCCGCGGUAAUACGUAGGUGGCAAGCGUUAUCCGGAUUUAUUGGGCGUAAAGAGAGUGCAGGCGGUUUUCUAAGUCUGAUGUGAAAGCCUUCGGCUUAACCGGAGAAGUGCAUCGGAAACUGGAUAACUUGAGUGCAGAGGAGGGUAGUGGAACUCCAUGUGUAGCGGUGGAAUGCGUAGAUAUAUGGAAGAACACCAGUGGCGAAGGCGGCUACCUGGUCUGCAACUGACGCUGAGACUCGAAAACAUGGGUAGCGAACAGGAUUAGAUACCCUGGUAGGAUA
rnacentral:rRNA from 1 species